rnacentral:rRNA from 1 species
GACGAACGCUGGCGGCGUGCUUAACACAUGCAAGUCGAGCGGUAAGGCCCUUUCGGGGGUACACGAGCGGCGAACGGGUGAGUAACACGUAGGUAAUCUACCCCCGAGUGGGGAAUAACUCAGGGAAACUUGAGCUAAUACCGCAUAAUGCAGCGGCACCACAUGGUGACAGUUGUUAAAGCAUUUAUGCGCUUGGGGAGGAGCCUGCGGCAGAUCAGCUAGUUGGAAGGUAAUGGCUUACCAAGGCUACGAUCUGUAACCGGCCUGAGAGGGCGGGACGGUCACACUGACACUGAAUAACGGGUCAGACUCCUACGGGAGGCAGCAGUCGGGAAUUUUGGGCAAUGGGCGAAAGCCUGACCCAGCAACGCCGCGUGAAGGAUGAAGUAUUUCGGUAUGUAAACUUACGAAAGAAUAGGAAGAAUAAAUGACGGUACUAUUUAUAAGGUCCGGCUAACUACGUGCCAGCAG